GGAUGUGAGGGCAGUCUGGCUGCAACAUCUGUCAGCCUAUUGUUUGCUAGGCUUGAUUUGGCACAUCUGGCUGGCUAGGCGGGUGUCCUCACCAGUCCAUGUGCGUCCCUGCCGAAGCUACGUGCUCAGUCAAAGAGCAUGACCAUUCCUGAUAGAGGAGGGUCAGUCUUUGGUCAAGAGUAUACAAAUAGCUGCAUUCCCCUGCAGCUACUCCAACUCUCGUUAGUUGUAGGCCUUGAAUAUUAAUAAGAUCCCGAGGUCAGGUACAACUUUGUCUUCUG
rnacentral:snRNA from 1 species